AGAGUUUGAUCCUGGCUUAGGAUGAACGCUAGCGACAGGCUUAACACAUGCAAGUCGAGGGGCAGCAUAAAAGUAGCAAUACUUGGUGGCGACCGGCGCACGGGUGAGUAACGCGUAUGCAACCUACCUAUCAGAGGGGAAUAACCCGGCGAAAGUCGGACUAAUACCGCAUAAAACAGGGGCACCGCAUGGUGAUAUUUGUUAAAGAAAUUCGCUGAUAGAUGGGCAUGCGUUCCAUUAGGUAGUUGGUGAGGUAACGGCUCACCAAGCCGACGAUGGAUAGGGGAACUGAGAGGUUGGUCCCCCACACUGGUACUGAGACACGGACCAGACUCCUACGGGAGGCAGCAGUGAGGAAUAUUGGUCAAUGGGCGGGAGCCUGAACCAGCCAAGUCGCGUGAAAGGAAGAAGGAUCUAUGGUUCGUAAACUUCUUUUGCAGGGGAAUAAAGUGCAGGACGUGUCCUGUUUUGUAUGUACCCUGAGAAUAAGGAUCGGCUAACUCCGUGCCAGCCGCUGC
rnacentral:rRNA from 1 species